AAAGCUUUAGAUUUCUCUACUUAUUUUGUAACUGCAAACCUUACUGUAUUUCAUUGUUAGCUCAAAAUAAUUUUUUCUUUGAUUCACUGGGUUUUUGGAGUAGACAAUCUUAUAAUCUUUUCCCAGCAGUCAACCCACUAAAGGAGAAAGGAGGAAGAAAGGAAGGGGUGUUCAAGAGCAGGCCCCACUCACCACCCCAGAGGUCCCUAACGGAAGUAGUUGAGUUUCCUCUACCAGAGUGACCGGUUAACUCUAAUAGCAGCUUCCUAUGUCUUAAGAGAUGAGAAGAAAAAUCUUAUGACACAUUGGAAGAUUGAAAGGCCAACAUUGAUUUGGAUGCAAGAAUGGCCUGUUGUAUGGGAGACUCCAAUUAGAACUAAAGAAACCUGGAUUGGAAUUCCGUUUCCACUAUUUCUGAUUCACAGGACCUGGAAACUUAACAUAUCUGCAACUCAGUUUCCUCAUCCAAAUACAGGCAUUUUCA